rnacentral:rRNA from 1 species
UACGGAGGGUGCAAGCGUUAUCCGGAUUCACGUGGGUUAAAGGGUGCGUAGGUGGUCUGUUAAGUUCAGCGGUGAAGACCUGGAGCUCAACUCCAGAAUUGCCAUUGAUACUGACGGACUUGAAUCAAGUUGAGGUGGAUGGGAUAUUACAUGUAGCGGUGAAAUGCUUAGAUAUCUUCUAGAACCCGGAUUGCGAAGGCAGC